CUAUAAACCCAGACAGGAGCUUGGGAAGGAUGAGACGCAUCCAUAUGGCAUGAGACAGGGAUGCUGCUGCCCUGCUGCAGCGAGCAGGGCUCCUCUGCAUCCUCCCACCUCUGUUAUUUCCACGCGCCUCCCGGAUUGAAGCCAACCUCCAGUACAUCCCAUUGCAGCAUCCCGCUGCUCGCAGCUCUGGGGCACAGCAGCCGGCUCGUGUUAAUGGCUGAAAGUUGCUUUCUGAAGGCCGCCCUCCUCUCACAGCAUCUCACAUCCCAUCCUGCUAAGGAAGGCGCGUUCCCUCUGCGAUACCCUGCGUGCAGGAGAUCCGUGGGGAUGCUGGAGCGCAGCGGUGGGUUGGCACUGGUGGCCCCAUGGAGGAUGAGCUGUGCACAGUGGGCUUCUUCCCCCCGAGGAGACAUCUCAGCCAUCAACAUCACAGCGCUGAGCCAAAGCGUCCCGGUGGUGUGCAAUGAGCAGCAGGAAACUGGUGGUUAAAGGCAGCCUCCCAAGAGCCUGGUGGGAUUGAUGAGAGCGGAGGCAUCCAAGAAGACAAGGAGGGCGGCUGUUUCUGUUGCACUAAGGGGAAAGCCACAGUUGGACAAAGUGCACUCCGAACAAACUUGAGGACCUUUUAAUCCCCACAUCAGGGUUGGAAGGCUCAGCUCUUCAAUAUUAUAUUCCAGCACUUCGGCAGAAAAUAAACCAGGCUCAAGAAAAUGGCACCAACUUAUAAAAGGAGAAAAAAAGAGCUAAUAUAUCAGUUAUCAGUGCUGAAUACACAGCACCGAGCCCUUCAGUCUCCAUUUUAAGUUCCUGAGCACAUGAUAAAACCACGGUACAAGCCACCAAAUAUUGGAGGGGAAAUGAGCAACCCCCGGUGCAGCACCUGUGCCCCGUCCUGCCAAGGAAAGCUCAGAUUUGAGCAAGAAACACAGCCUAAAAAUUAAACAAUAAUAAAGAUAGAAAACAACAAAAGAAAACACUACACACACACACAGCCCUGCAAAAAAACACCACGCCAAACAAAACAGAGCAGUUCACAAACUUGGCACCCAAGCUCAAAAGGACUCACGAGGGAAUACAAAUAGCUUCCAAUCUCUAAAUAUUCAAAGGAUUAGUAGGGCAGUAAAAAAAAAAAAGG